UACGUAGGCGGUUUGUUAAGUUAGGUGUGAAAGUUUGCAGCUCAACUGUAAAAGUGCAUUUAAAACUGGCAGACUUGAGUCUCGGAGAGGUAAGCGGAAUUCCUAGUGUAGCGGUGAAAUGCGUAGAGAUUAGGAAGAACACCGGUGGCGAAGGCGGCUUACUGGACGAGUACUGACGCUCAGGUACGAAAGCGUGGGGAGCAAACA
rnacentral:rRNA from 1 species